UACGUAGGGUGCGAGCGUUGUCCGGAAUUAUUGGGCGUAAAGAGCUCGUAGGCGGUCUGUCGCGUCGGUCGUGAAAACUUGGGGCUUAACCCUGAGCUUGCGGUCGAUACGGGCAUGACUGGAGUUCGGCAGGGGAGACUGGAAUUCCUGGUGUAGCGGUGAAAUGCGCAGAUAUGCGGAGGAACACCGAUGGCGAAGGCAAUCCCCUGGACCUGUACUGACGCUCAUGCACGAAAGCGUGGGGAGCAAACAGG
rnacentral:rRNA from 1 species